AGAAACUGGUGACUCUGCUGGUCUAUGAAACCAGAGAUUCUGGGUUCGAUCCCCAG
rnacentral:tRNA from 1 species